UACGGAGGGUGCAAGCGUUAUCCGGAUUCACUGGGUUUAAAGGGUGCGUAGGCGGACAGGUAAGUCAGUGGUGAAAUCUCUGAGCUUAACUCAGAAACUGCCGUUGAUACUAUUUGUCUUGAAUAUCAUGGAGGUAAGCGGAAUAUGUCAUGUAGCGGUGAAAUGCUUAGAUAUGACAUAGAACACCGAUAGCGAAGGCAGCUUACUACAUGGAGAUUGACGCUGAGGCACGAAAGCGUGGGGAGCAAACAGG
rnacentral:rRNA from 2 species